AACCCGGCCGUAAGGUCAUCCGUACAUGAAUACAUAGUGUGCGGAAGCAAACCUGGUGAACUGAAAUAUCUAAGUAGCCAGAGGAAAGGACAUCAACCGAGACUCCGUUAGUAGUGACGAGCGAACGCGGAUCAGGCCAGUGGCCUAAGUGAGGAAACCGGAACCGUCUGGAAAGUCGGGCCGUAGCGGGUGAUAGCCCCGUACGGGUACAGCUUCAUUUAGGUCCUUGAGUAGGGCGGGGCACGUGAAACCCUGUCUGAACAUGGGGGGACCAUCCUCCAAGGCUAAAUACUCC
rnacentral:rRNA from 1 species